AGCAGCCGCGGUAAUUCCAGCUCCAAUAGCGUAUAUUAAAGUUGUUGCAGUUAAAAAGCUCGUAGUUGAAUUUCGGGAUCAAUUUAUUGGUCGUGCUAUUGUACGUACUGGUAUUAUUGAUUCCUACCUUCUGACGAACCAUGAUGUCAUUAAUUUGGUGUCAUGGGGAAUCAGGACUGUUACUUUGAAAAAUUAGAGUGUUUAAAGCAGGCUCACGCUUGAAUACAUUAGCAUGGAAUAACGAAAUAGGACGUUUGAUUCUAUUUUGUUGGUUUCUAGGAUCGACGUAAUGAUUAAUAGGGAUAGUUGGGGCAUUAGUAUUCAAUUGUCAGAGGUGAAAUUCUUGGAUUUAUUGAAGACUAACUACUGCGAAAGCAUUUGCCAAGGAUGUUUUCAUUAAUCAAGAACGAAAGUUAGGGGAUCGAAGACGAUCAGAUACCGUCGUAGUCUUAACCAUAAAACUAUGCCGAC
rnacentral:rRNA from 1 species